AUAAGUAUAUAUAGUAAAACAACCUGAGAACUUUAGAAGAAAUGGAAGGUAACUUCUGAUAGUGGUAUCUCUUCACUCUUCUGCAAGAAUAAAGACAAUGAGAUAACAACUCUGCUGUAGAAAUCCAUUUUUUUUUUCUAAGGAUGAGCAGUAUCAAAGCACAAGCAUUAGCUCUCCCUCCUUGAAAAUUAAGGAGGUGAUCCACCCGCACCAUCCAAUACGACCAUACAAGUUCUCCA
rnacentral:lncRNA from 1 species